rnacentral:lncRNA from 1 species
GAAAGCAGCUUGUGGGAGGCCCAGAGGGGAAGCUGGGUGAUGUGUUUGGAGACUACUGUGCUAUCUGGGUGAAAGAUGCUGGUUAUAAAGACUGUGACUUCUGCCUUGCUGAUAUUCUCUCUCCCUGGGUCAUCUCCUGUGCUUGCUUUGAUGGAAAGACCUACCAGGAAAGCCUCUUGCAAACAGCCAGCAACAAAGUGAGGUUCUCAGUCCAGUAGCUUGUGAGAAACUGUAUCAUGCUAGCAACCAUGGAGUGAGAUUGGAAGUGGAUGCUACUUCAGUUGAAUGUUGAGACGACUGCAGCCUGGGCUGACUCCUUGAUUGCAGCCCUGUUAGGGACCCUGGGCCGACACUGUAAUAACAGUCUCAUGAAGACUCUGAGGCAGAGGACCCACCUGGAUGAACUGUGCCUGAAUUGUUGACCUACAAAAACUGUGAGAUAUUAAAUAAGUAUCAUUUCAAGUUGCUAAGUUUUGCAGUAACAUGUUAUGCAGCAACAGAUAACUAACACAACAGUAUUUAUCUUUUGUAUAAUAAGCAAAACUAAAAAAACUUUUUUUUUAAAUAAGAAAGAUACAUGGGAAGGAUAAAUUAACAGCAAAAAGUGAAGAUGUAUUUGAAAAAUUAUUGUGAAGUGGAUUGAAACUGCAUGACCUGAUUGUCCUUAAUGAUGUCCAAGUAUACAAAUGUAUUUUAUUUUAGCAUAGGCAUAGCCUCAUAAACUCAUAGUAUGAGUUUUCAUACAAAUUUGCUGGAAAUUAGUAAUUCCGAUUUAUAAUAAUUCUUGAAAUAUGUAUAUUUUGAUAUUUUCUGGUGAGAUUUUGGCCAUCAGCUCUAUGAAGCAUUUGUUUUUGCAGGUAUUCUGAACCACAGAAGGCUGACUUGUUCUGCCUCAUAAUGACUUGACUUUGGUCAUUGAAAAAUGCUUGAGCUAAAGGAAGUCCGUAGUUCCUAUUUAUAUUCAGCUUUUACUAAAACACAUUUAUGGCAGAAAUUUAACAAGGAUUUAAGUCUUUGAGAAAAUUUUUUGUUUUAGAGAAUGAGGAAACUACUACACAGAGUGAUUCUUUUCUUUCACUGAAGCUCCCAAUCAAAAAUAUAUACAAUUUACAAAUUAGGCUUCAGUAUUCCUUUCAUAAGAUCUAACAACUUGCUGUGCCAUUCUAGUUGUUUGGGAAAGGGUUGGCCACACAUAAAACUAAAAGAUAAUCGGUCAACGAGCUUUUUGUGGAGCAGGCAAAAGAACCUUUCAUUUCAAAGUCUCUGAGUGAACUUGUAUGUUACAUGAAGGAGAAUAGCUUCAGUGUAAAGUAACAACCUUUUGAAAAUUCUUAACAUACAC